rnacentral:rRNA from 1 species
GCCUGCACAAACCUCACCGACGUCGUGCGCUCGGUGCAGCUGCUCACGAUCAAUGGCUACUCCAUGACCAAGACCAUCGACAGCGACGACGGCUGCAUCAAAUCCAGGUGGAACAUCUACGGCUACGACUGGGAGAUCCACCUGUAUCCUGCAGGGCUGUCGAAUCGAUCCCGUACGUCUUUAGCCUUGAAGCUUGUCUUCGUCGACGAAGCCCGUACGAGCACCGUGAGGGCCAGCCUAGCAUGUCAGCUCGUAGAUCCACAGGGGAACCUCAACCCCUUCAAAGAAGAGAGACAAGCAGGGACAUUCAAGCGCGCCCAGGACAGCUCGUCUCCCGUUUUCGUCAUGGAAAUGGCUGCUCUUGAAAGAUCUGCCUAUCUCAAAGAUGAUUCUUACACCGUGCAGUGCACCAUCACCGUGCUCAAGGAGACAUCCGGUUCAGCGACGAGCUCGAUUCAUGGAGCGGACGUCCCGUCCUCGGACCUGCGCCGGCAUCUCGGCGAGCUCCUGCGGGGCGAGACCGGAGCGGACGUCACGUUUCUUGUCUCCGGCGAGUCCUUCACCGCGCACAAGGCUGUGCUCGCAGCAAGGUCUCCCGUGCUCAUGGCCGAGUUCUUUGGGGAAACGAAGGAGGAGACCUCUCCCCGCGUCAAGGUCAAGGACAUGGAGCCGGAGGCAUUUAGGUCCAUGCUGCACUUCGUCUACACCGACACGGCGCCUGAACUGGAUCAGACGCCGGAGACGGUUGUGGUUAUGGCUCGGCGUCUGCUUGCAGCUGCUGACAGGUAUGGGCUGGACAGGCUCAGGCUGAUUUGUGAGCGCAAGCUCUCUGACGGCAUUGGCGUCGACACGGCUGCGACGACCCAGCUGGUUCUGGCCGAGCAGCGUGGCUGUUCCAUGCUCAAGGCUAAGUGUUUGGAGUUCAUCGUCAGCACUCCUGAGAUCCUUGAUGCCGUCAUGGCGACGGAGGGGUAUAAGGAACUAGAGGCUAGCUGCCCUUCGGUUCUGCGCCAGCUUCUCAAGUCUGCACGUGGAAGA